UCCAGCUGCUGCUGCUCUUGUUAGCCUGCCUACCUACCUGCUCCUUCUUUUGGAUCCGUUUACCUCUGCUGUCUGCUUUCCUGUUGCUGACCUCUGCCUGGAUUCAAGUCCAAGUGAAAUGGUUGCCGAUGACAUUGGGGCUGAGCGGUGAAGUGUAAUUUGUCCAGACCAUGGUGACACUUGUCCAGGUCCUGAAAACUGAGUUAAGCUGUUUCCUCGGUGUGAGACGGUGGACACCUGCUCCGUCCAUGGGCCGCUGGACUUCCACAGACCAGGAGAAUCUGGAGGAUCGCUAUCUCCUGGAAGUUGUGGCAGUCGUUUUCUAUCAGUGAUGAUCACAGUUGUAGAGGCAAAUACACUGGAUGGUACUGUAGUAGAAGAAGACAAAGUGUCAGUUCAGCCAACAUUGCCAGCAUUCAGCGUUUAAUUAGCAUCCCAAGUGCAUGCUGGGAUGGACAUGCUGAGACGGAGUGGAUGGAUAACAGCUGAGUCCCCGCUGGCCUCAUCACACCAGUGCUCCCUGCUCUCUCACUGUCCUUCUAAAUAAAGAAUAGCAGGAGGAGAGGUGAUUCUACACGAAAAGGUCGCCUAUUGUACAGAUAUUCAUGGUCCCAA